UGGACGGGAGACUGCGUUGU
rnacentral:misc_RNA from 1 species